rnacentral:rRNA from 1 species
AGAGUUUGAUCCUGGCUCAGGAUAAACGCUGGCGGCGUGCUUAACACAUGCAAGUCGAACGGAGCUUUUCCUUCGGGGAAAGCUUAGUGGCGGACGGGUGAGUAACGCGUGGGUAACCUGCCCUGUACAGGGGGACAACAGCUGGAAACGGCUGCUAAUACCGCAUAAGCCCUUAGCACUGCAUGGUGCAUAGGGAAAAGGAGCAAUCCGGUACAGGAUGGACCCGCGUCUGAUUAGCCAGUUGGCAGGGUAACGGCCUACCAAAGCGACGAUCAGUAGCCGAUCUGAGAGGAUGUACGGCCACAUUGGGACUGAGACACGGCCCAGACUCCUACGGGAGGCAGCAGUGGGGAAUAUUGCACAAUGGAGGAAACUCUGAUGCAGCGACGCCGCGUGAGUGAAGAAGUAUUUCGGUAUGUAAAGCUCUAUCAGCAGGGAAGAAAAUGACGGUACCUGACUAAGAAGCACCGGCUAAAUACGUGCCAGCAGCCGCGGUAAUACUGUAUGGUGCGAGCGUUAUCCGGAUUUACUGGGUGUAAAGGGAGCGUAGGUGGCAAGGCAAGCCAGAAGUGAAAACCCGGGGCUCAACCGCGGGAUUGCUUUUGGAACUGUCAUGCUAGAGUGCAGGAGGGGUGAGCGGAAUUCCUAGUGUAGCGGUGAAAUGCGUAGAUAUUAGGAGGAACACCGGAGGCGAAGGCGGCUCACUGGACUGUAACUGACACUGAGGCUCGAAAGCGUGGGGAGCAAACAGGAUUAGAUACCCUGGUAGUCCACGCGGUAAACGAUGAAUACUAGAUGUCGGGUAGCAAAGCUACUCGGUGUCGUCGCAAACG